rnacentral:lncRNA from 1 species
AAGUUAUUGUAUCUUGAGGACUUCUUCGUGAUGAGUGAUUAUAGAGGCUUUGGCAUAGGAUCAGAAAUUCUGAAGAAUCUAAGCCAGGUAUGUUGCAAUGAGGUGUCGCUGCAGCAGCAUGCACUUCUUGGUAGCAGAAUGGAAUGAACCAUCCAUCAACUUCUAUAAAAGAAGAGGUGCUUCUGAUCUGUCCAGUGAAGAGGGUUGGAGACUGUUCAAGAUCGACAAGGAGUACUUGCUAAAAAUGGCAACAGAGGAGUGAGGAGUGCUGCUGUAGAUGACAACCUCCAUUCUAUUUUAGAAUAAAUUCCCAACUUCUCUUGCUUUCUAUGCUGUUUGUAGUGAAAUAAUAGAAUGAGCACCCAUUCCAAAGCUUUAUUACCAGUGGCGUUGUUGCAUGUUUGAAAUGAGGUCUGUUUAAAGUGGCAAUCUCAGAUGCAGUUUGGAGAGUCAGAUCUUUCUCCUUGAAUAUCUUUCGAUAAACAACAAGGUGGUGUGAUCUUAAUAUAUUUGAAAAAAACUUCAUUCUCGUGAGUCAUUUAAAUGUGUACAAUGUACACACUGGUACUUAGAGUUUCUGUUUGAUUCUUUUUUAAUAAA